GAUGAACGCUGGCGGCGUGCCUAAUACAUGCAAGUCGAGCGAACAGAUGAGGAGCUUGCUCCUCUGACGUUAGCGGCGGACGGGUGAGUAACACGUGGAUAACCUACCUAUAAGACUGGGAUAACUUCGGGAAACCGGAGCUAAUACCGGAUAAUAUAUUGAACCUCAUGGUUCAAUAGUGAAAGACGGUUUUGCUGUCACUUCUAGAUGGAUCCGCGCCGCAUUAGCUAGUUGGUAAGGUAACGGCUUACCAAGGCGACGAUGCGUAGCCGACCUGAGAGGGUGAUCGGCCACACUGGAACUGAGACACGGUCCAGACUCCUACGGGAGGCAGCAGUAGGGAAUCUUCCGCAAUGGGCGAAAGCCUGACGGAGCAACGCCGCGUGAGUGAUGAAGGUCUUCGGAUCGUAAAACUCUGUUAUUAGGGAAGAACAAAUGUGUAAGUAACUAUGCACGUCUUGACGGUACCUAAUCAGAAAGCCACGGCUAACUACGUG
rnacentral:rRNA from 1 species